AACCUCCCGGGCCACCCGGCCUGAGGCGGAAUGUUGCGUAAAGGGAAGGGUCGUUGUCAAACCCCACAGCCACGCGAGCGCUAAGUCAGCCACGAAUAGGCUAUCCCAACUAACGACGGGAAAGACUCCACGGAGGGUGUAAGACCCGUGUGGGCGCGUGUCAAAGCUGUGUGGGCUCGGCCUCUUUUUCCCUGAGAGUCGCGUUGCUUGAGCAUGCAGCGCUAAGCAGGUCGUAAACUCGAUCUAAGGCUAAAUAUAUCCACAGAACCGAUAGCGAACAAGUACCGUGAGGGAAAGUUGAAAAGCACUCUGGAGAGAGAGUCAAAAGACCGUGAAACCGCUCAGGGUAUAAGCCAAUGGCAGCUUGGAAGGCAUAUCGAUAGCGGCGGCAUUUCGACUCCGGUCGGGUGCUCCGUGACUCUGGCAAUGCUGGCAGGUAGGGGCAUUGAGUUGACAUCCCGCCCACGUAUGGGAGGCUUAGCUUCUGCCUUGGUGCGUGUGUGUUUGCCUCUUCGGGGGUGGGCGCGUGCGUGCCCUGUGUUUGGGGCGGCCUCUUGAGUACGAACCUUCAAAGCCGGAGACACGAUGCGAUAUCACGGCCCACCACGGCACGUUGCGAGGUCACCCUCAGACUCGACUUUCGAUUGUGGAUCCUGACACCGGGCUAGCAUAUGCACGUCGCUGACGUUCUUCCGGCUAUAUCUGGAAGGAUGACGUGCGCCCAUCAUUGUGUGUCGGAGCCGGGCGAUGACUGAGACAAAUUCUGGUGCGAUCCUCCUGCGACGAGCUGGUAUCUCUGACCUAUUCCGACGUUCGCGUCCGCCGCAUGUGUCGCGGUGGACGUCGAUGCUGAACGUAGCGCGCGGCCUGGUUCUCUGUCACAGAGUCCUCUCGGCGGAGCGUCGGAACGAGUGGUGUAAAGUCCAAGCCCAUCGGUCACGUCUCGAAACACGGGCCAAGGAGUAUAGCAUGUGUGCAAGUCUAAGGGUCUCACAAAACCCGAAGGCGAAGUGAAAGCAUGGGAGCGGCGGGUGAACCACGGUGACCCCGUCAGCUGAGGGAGUUUACUCCCCUGGCUUUGGCAGAGUCGAUCCUGGGGCGUUGCAGAACACCCAGGCGCAGACUCCAGGCUCACGUAUAGCAGCUCGGUCGCUUGCGACUCUGCUGUGAGCACUGUGGAGCAUGCAUGCUAUGACCCGAAAGAUAGUGAACUAUGCCUGGCGAGGGCGAAGCCCCAGGAAACUGGGGUGGAGGCCCGUAGCCGUUGUG
rnacentral:rRNA from 1 species